CCUACGGGUGGCUGCAGUAGGGAAUAUUGCUCAAUGGGGGAAACCCUGAAGCAGCAACGCCGCGUGGAGGAUGAAGGUUUUCGGAUUGUAAACUCCUUUUGUUAGAGAAGAUAAUGACGGUAUCUAACGAAUAAGCACCGGCUAACUCCGUGCCAGCAGCCGCGGUAAUACGGAGGGUGCAAGCGUUACUCGGAAUCACUGGGCGUAAAGAGAGCGGAGGGGGGAUAGCAAGUCAGAUGUGAAAUCCUAUGGCUUAAGCAUAGAACUGCAUUGGAAACUGUUAUUCCAGAGUAUGGGAGAGGUAGGUGGGAUUGUUGGGGGAGGGGUAAAAUCCGUAGAGAUCAAGAGGAAUACUCAUUGCGAAGGCGACCUGCUAGAACAUAACUGACGCUGAUGCGCGAAAGCGUGGGGAGCAAACAGGAUUAGAUACCCGUGUAGUC
rnacentral:rRNA from 1 species